rnacentral:rRNA from 1 species
UACAGAGGGUGCAAGCGUUGUUCGGAAUUAUUGGGCGUAAAGGGCGUGUAGGCGGUUUCCUAAGUCUUCUGUGAAAUCUACGGGCUUAGCCUGUAACGUGCAGAGGAAACUGGGAGACUUGAGUGUCGGAGAGGAUAGGGGAAUACCCGGUGUAGAGGUGAAAUUCGUAGAGAUCGGGUGGAACACCAGUGGCGAAGGCGCCUGUCUGGCUGACAACUGACGCUGAGACUCGAAAGCAUGGGGAGCAAACAGG